rnacentral:tRNA from 1 species
AAUGGCUAAGUGGUCAAAGCGCCGGGUUCAUAGCCCGGGGACGCGGGUUCGAUUCCCGUUU